UAGCCAACGCACUUUGACAUGGGUUGACUUUUCCCUGCGUUUUCCCGAUCAUUCGAAAUCGCUCUGAAAUUCAGCAAAACCAUUACAGAAACAGAACACGAUUCAGUAAACUUUAGGGAAACGUUCGUCUGUUUUAAUACGUAUUUCCUAUUCACCGAAUCAGCGUUUACCAUAAAAGAGCUGACCAGAUGCAAAGCCAUUAAAAUCUAAAUCCUCCUUGAAAAACCUCCCGUGUGCCGCCGAAUGCUCCAGCAGAUGGUACUACUGAUCACAAGCAGUGUUUUAUUAAGAAUCAUUCUGACGGUCGGCGAAGUCAAAAAAGUGUCAAAUAUCGAAAGGAAGUUUGGCGUCCGCUUGAUACCGUAUACGACAGAAGGGACUGUUCACCCAGAAUAACCCGGAAGCAGCUGAGGCGGCUCACGGCGGAUGGGAUUUCAGCAGGUCCGUGGAACAUGGUGGUCGGAGAUGAAAUGCGAUGAUAGGAAAGUUGCAUGUUCAUGUAUCGCCUGCUGGGAAGACUGUGCGGCCCUUGCGUUAGUUUCAGGAGUAGCUAAUGCAUCUUUGACGGAGCCUGUCUGAUCUGCAGCUGAGCCUCCCCGCCUGCUUCGCCAUGCCACUGGUGGUGGAUGCCGUGUGGGCACUGUGGAGCAUUGGAGCUGGAAUCUAUGACUACUUCCACACCAGUGCCAUGGAGGAGAGGAUCCACACGCUGGAAAACGUCCUCUCUAUCCACCAGUUUGUGAUCGCAGCCCUGUCUGCAGGCCUCAUCCUGCUCAUGACGUACAUACUAUGGAGAAAACACUAAAACCUUGCUGAGGCUUGUCCAGCCAAGGCCAAGCACCCACUAAAUGUUGUUUUGUUGCAAAACAUCUUUCAUUGCAUCUCUUCAGGCUAGUUUCCAUCCACACUUGAGGAACAGGCAUGUUCAGUAGUGAUCAGGAUGUCCCAAAUGAGGUCACAAGCGCUGAUGGGAAACUAAACCGAGCAAAAAAGCUCCAUAAGAACAUGAGGUCUCUGAAAACAUGUUGGUACCUUUGGCUGGUUGGGGCUUGGUCUGUCUGUCUGUUGUCUGUGUGUUCUGAGAUGGUCUGCUCACCAUUAACCCAAAAUCAUAACUGCUUCUUUGCACUUUGACUCUUUUGCCAAACUUGAAGGACUUUAACGGCUAGGAAAGCCCUCUGAGAUGAAGCCCUCUGAGAUGAAGCCCAUUUAAACACCUUCUCAGUGUGUGAUGAGACAACAAAUGGUGGCCAUAACAUCACAUUCUUCUCUCUAAUCAAUUACAUGAUUUAGCCUGUGCGACCAGAGAAGAUUUACGGUGCCAUUCAUCCACAAAUGAUGCGAUCACUGAGUGAGUUUACACAUAAACUGCUAUAACUCUGCAGGAACAGACUUAAUAAUGGGAAUAAUGACAUCUGCCCUCAGAUACACUCCUAAAACUGUUGAGUCUGUUUUAUUCUUAAAUUAAUUAAAGGAGCUAAGUGAAUAAAACAUAAUGAAAACAUAGAGGCCUGUGUUUUCACCAUACCUGUAAAUGGAGAUUUAAUGGCUGCUGUCAGACUGGGGGUGAUCAGUAAACUCUCAGAGUCAGUUUAAUGGGUGAACACGAUUUUGUUGCUCUGUUACAGUUAAGUCCCAUAAUCAGAGCAGAGAUUUAUUUUUGAAAAAAAGAAGAGCCUCACAAAUGCCUUCAGCUGCUGUGGUUUGUAAUUAUCCUGGUUCCAGGUGGCAGGUCUGGAAUAACAGGAUAGGCACAAAAAAAAACACUGUUAAGAAGCUCAAACACUGGGAAAUGAAUUCAUCCAUCAUGUGAUUUACAGAUUAUUUUUUCAUGCUGAUGGGAAAGGAUUGGAGAUGUGGGAUUUUAGCAGUUAGUCUAUUCAUUUGGUGUUUUCCAAUGUUUUGGAAAGGCAGGUUGUGUGAGUUUAACUUGUCUGUUCAUAUUUUUACCAAAACUGUCUCUAGUCUUCAUGUUUCCCUGUGUUUUUCUUUACUAAUGUGAUCUGAUGAUUUAAUCAAAUGUAUUUGGUCAUUGUUUUCUCUGUUGUAUCUGUUUACUUUCUUGCCUCCAUUGUCAUUGUACUGUAUUCACCACUGUAUGUUACUCUGACGCAUCACCACCGUGGCUACGACUAAAGGGAAUAUGUUUGAAUUAUCA